CGUAACCUGCUGAGCCACAAUGGGAACUCCCUUGUUUUUAUUUUUGGUAAUGUCUGAACCUUCUAUAACCUGCUGGUUUAUAUUAAAUCUAGUGGCAAAAGUUAUUACAAACACAGUAGCCUACAUUUUUGAAUCCUCACAAGUUGAAGUGGCAUUCGAGACACCUGCCCUCGAUGAGUUUCCGUGGGCAUCAGGGCUGCUUUCAGUGCACGAGGGGCACUGUCACAACUGCUCUGGUCCUUGGGCCAUGGUGAGUUCCCUGUGUUCACAGCACAGCAAGCCAGGCUUGGAGCAGGGGCCUGGCACCAACGAAGAGUUAAAUUCGGUGGAGAAAGAGGCUCCCCGCUGGGGGUGGCAGCUGCACUGCAGGACUUCUCCCUUUGCAGCCCAUUCUGAGGGACCCCUGGGGCCAUGGUGCUGGGACCCAAGGGUGCCACAAGCUCGGGGGCUGAGGUGCAGGGGGCGGCAAGCCCAGGAGCCAGCGGGGUUAAUAAAUACAACGCCGGCUGAUCGUGUCCCCUGCUGCUAAGCCUAAAUUAACCAUGCUGGUGAGGUGGGGUUUGCUGUGGCAAGCCCCAGGCCCCCUCCUGGGCUCUGAGGAGGGGAAGAGGGGGUGGGGGAGACCCAGCCCCCAGGACCCACCACCCCCAGGCCUUCCCCCCCAGCGGGGGCCAGCGGAAAAGGUGCUGCAGGAAGAGGACGGUUUCCUUUGGGGGUGGGUGGGGGGUCUUUCUGUUUUCUCUCCCAAACAGGAAGCGGGCCCCAGAAGAGGCUGAAGUGCUGCCCUUUGACCCUUGGGAGCCGGGAGCCAGGCACUCACUGACAGCAGCCCCCAGAGCCGCCCCCAGGCCUCCGGGCGGGCCUGCCACUCCCAGACACAGAGCAGACCGUCUGGGUCUGGCCCGGCGGGCUCCCCCAGACUCUGCGGCACCUCCGGUGAGAUAGUGCUGAGCAGAGGGGCCCAUUACAGCUCUUGUCUGGGGGCAGGGCUGCUGCUGAGAACCUCAGGGAGGAGAGAAUCUGGCCUCCCACUUGGAACAGACAAAGGAAACCCAAAGUCUUGGGAGGGAAACACAGCUGCGGACCCAGAACUGGAAGGGUCUCUGGUCCUGGAACUCACACUGCCUCCUUGCACACAGCCCUUCUGUCCGCUGGUGGCGGUGGCGGCGUCUGUCAACAGAAGCAUCUGCUCCAGCUCACAGGAUGCCUUAAAAGCUAUACUGAGAAUGCAUUGCUAAGAUGCUCCCGGAGACCGGGAAUCCUUCCAGCAGCCAGCACAGCGCCCUAGGCCUCCUGAGGGAAGGAAGGAUGGACGAAUGGAUGGAUGGAUGAGAUGUAGAAGGCUGAAGCCAGAACCACCCCCCAUCCCCGACCCCCAACUCCAGACUCCAGCUUCACUGCAGUAUCUGCAGGACCAGUCCCAGACGUCUUUCUGCUGGUCAGCCAAGGAGUCUCCCAGGUACUGAAAGUGGCAGCAGCCCAGAGGUAGCAGUGCCAGGGCGUCUUCUCACAAGCCUGGAGCCAGUGAGAAGCUGGAGAACCUGCUGGGCCAGCCACUGCCCCACGCAGCCCCUUCUCCCCCUCCAGCAUGAGGCUGGGGGGCCUGGAGUCUGUUCUCUGAAGGCUUGGCCUUCCCUUGCUCUCCAACCAAGUUCAUUUGGCCACAUCCAGGCAGCCCCUAGGGAUCCCCGCCUUGUAUUCUAUGCCCACACUCCCACACCCUAGUGUCCCCCCACACCCUAGUGCCCCCCCCAUACCCUAGCCCUCCAGACAAGCUUGGCUUCCAGAUCUAGCUGCUUUCUGAUUGGCUGUGUGUCUUCUGGCAACCUCCUGUCCCUCUCUGGGCUUUCCUUAUUUGUAAAAUGGGGACACUAGCAAUUGGGUUCUCUAAACACAAGAUGACUUCA